UCAAAGUCAUGCCAGUUACACUUUCUCAUGAUGUCAUAUUACACUUAGGCUUUGGUCAUUUAUUUAUUUUUUAUUUUUUUAUUUUUUUUUGAGACAGAGUCUCCCUCUGUCGCUCAGGCUGGAGUGCAAAGCGACACGCCAUCUUCAAAAAAAA
rnacentral:antisense_RNA from 1 species